GGGCCGGUAGAUCAGGCUGGUAUGAUCGCCGCGCUUGCAACGCGGAGGUCGCGGGUUCAAAUCCCGCCCGGUCCACCA
rnacentral:tRNA from 1 species